AUGCAUGCCGUGGGUUGUGUUGGGGACUCCAUCAAGUUUGUGUCCAUCACCGGCUUCCUUGAGCGUGUGGAUCUUGUGGAUGACUGCAUGGUGAGGGCCUGGCGACUCGAGGAAGAUAUGAGUUGGGAUUUAGACUACGAGCUCAAGCUAGGGAGUCUGCGUGAAGAGGGUUCUUUCAAAGGGAACCAACACCUGCCGACCUCCAUGGCACCCAUGUACCCCUUCCUCAGCAUGCAGGAAGACCGUGUCAUCUACUUUGCACUGGGUGAGUACAUCUACCAGGACCUGGAGUUCUGCUUUCCAUCCACGCCAAGCUUUUGGGUUCGGGUUGAUAUGAGCAGCAAGACUUUUAACUGCAUGCCUCUCUCUCUCACGGACGCCAGCAUUGGAUGUCUUCUUGCAAUGUCCGGCAAUGCUGAGGGCAAGCUUGCUUGGACUUCAAGCCAAGCCAACUUCUGA
rnacentral:rRNA from 1 species